rnacentral:rRNA from 1 species
UACGAGGGGGGCAAAUGUUGUUCGGAAUCACUGGGCGUAAAGGGAGCGUAGGCGGGUUUCUAAGUCAGGUGUUUAAUCCCGGGGCCCAACCCCGGACAGGCACUUGAAACUGGGAAUCUUGAAUAGUGGAGAGGUCAGUGGAAUUGGGGGUGUAGCGGUGGAAUGCGUAGAGAUCCCCAAGAACACCAGUUGCGAAGGCGGCUGACUGGACACAUAUUUACGCUGAGGCUCGAAAGCAUGGGGAGCAAACAGG